AUUGAACGCUGGCGGCAUGCCUUACACAUGCAAGUCGAACGGUAACGCGGGGCAACCUGGCGACGAGUGGCGAACGGGUGAGUAAUGUAUCGGAACGUGCCCAGUUGUGGGGGAUAACUGCUCGAAAGAGCAGCUAAUACCGCAUACGACCUGAGGGUGAAAGCGGGGGAUCGCAAGACCUCGCGCAAUUGGAGCGGCCGAUAUCAGAUUAGGUAGUUGGUGGGGUAAAGGCUCACCAAGCCGACGAUCUGUAGCUGGUCUGAGAGGACGACCAGCCACACUGGGACUGAGACACGGCCCAGACUCCUACGGGAGGCAGCAGUGGGGAAUUUUGGACAAUGGACGCAAGUCUGAUCCAGCCAUGCCGCGUGCGGGAAGAAGGCCUUCGGGUUGUAAACCGCUUUUGUCAGGGAAGAAACGCUCUGGGUUAAUACCUCGGGGUAAUGACGGUACCUGAAGAAUAAGCACCGGCUAACUACGUGCCAGCCGCCGCGGUAAUAC
rnacentral:rRNA from 1 species